UACGUAGGGUGCAAGCGUUAUCCGGAAUUAUUGGGCGUAAAGAGCUCGUAGGCGGUUUGUCGCGUCUGCUGUGAAAACUGGAGGCUCAACCUCCAGCCUGCAGUGGGUACGGGCAAACUAGAGUGCGGUAGGGGAGAUUGGAAUUCCUGGUGUAGCGGUGGAAUGCGCAGAUAUCAGGAGGAACACCGAUGGCGAAGGCAGAUCUCUGGGCCGUAACUGACGCUGAGGAGCGAAAGCAUGGGGAGCGAAUAGG
rnacentral:rRNA from 1 species